rnacentral:misc_RNA from 1 species
GCCAAAACUCCCAGGACUCUUGCACCGUCCCAGUAGAUUACCCGGCCACCAGCGGCUUGGAUUCGAGCCAAUUCAUCCGGUCGAUCAGGCUUGUGAUCGGGAGAAAGGGGGGUAAGGGGGAUAGCUACUCCGUUGCGGCAUAGUACGGCGCGGGAGUCGCCGCAGUUGGAGACUACGAUCUUGUUCGGCGUUACAACUGCAACUACAGCCGUGGAUCCAACGGCGUCGCACUGCGGAGUCUGGAGCUCGCACCGGCAGUUAGUGUUCUUAUCUCCUUUGUUGCACCACUCCUCCAGCUCAUUGUCCAUCUUCGCAUAGCUUCUCGCCAUCGCUUCCUUCCACUCAACGCACUUCACUUCGUCGAAUCUUUCGAUUUCUUCUUUCAUAAUCUCGUGUAGCCGAUCUUUACACUUCAUCGCCACAUGAGAGCAACCGUGACCAUCAAAUACACCGAAGAAAAAAGUUUUCCCGCCGGCAAAGGACGUCCUUAUCGAAA